CGGAGGGUGCAAGCGUUAAUCGGAAUUACUGGGCGUAAAGCGCACGCAGGCGGUCUGUCAAGUCGGAUGUGAAAUCCCCGGGCUCAACCUGGGAACUGCAUUCGAAACUGGCAGGCUAGAGUCUUGUAGAGGGGGGUAGAAUUCCAGGUGUAGCGGUGAAAUGCGUAGAGAUCUGGAGGAAUACCGGUGGCGAAGGCGGCCCCCUGGACAAAGACUGACGCUCAGGUGCGAAAGCGUGGGGAGCAAACAGGAUUAGAUACCCUGGUAGUCCACGCCGUAAACGAUGUCGAUUUGGAGGUUGUGCCCUUGAGGCGUGGCUUCCGGAGCUAACGCGUUAAAUCGACCGCCUGGGGAGUACGGCCGCAAGGUUAAAACUCAAAUGAAUUGACGGGGGCCCGCACAAGCGGUGGAGCAUGUGGUUUAAUUCGAUGCAACGCGAAGAACCUUACCUG
rnacentral:rRNA from 2 species